rnacentral:tRNA from 1 species
GGGAAUGUUGCUCAGUGGUAGAGUGCUUGCCUUGCAUGUAUGAGGCCCUGGGUUCAAUUCCUCAGCACCA